rnacentral:rRNA from 1 species
UGUGACCUCAAAUCAGGUAGGACUACCCGCUGAACUUAAGCAUAUCAAUAAGCGGAGGAAAAGAAACUAACAAGGAUUCCCCUAGUAACUGCGAGUGAAGCGGGAAAAGCUCAAAUUUAAAAUCUGGCUGUCUUAUGGCUGUCCGAGUUGUAAUCUAGAGAAGUGUUAUCCGCGCUGGACCGUGUACAAGUCUCCUGGAAUGGAGCAUCAUAGAGGGUGAGAAUCCCGUCUUUGACAUGGACUGCCAGGGCUUUGUGAUGCGCUCUCAAAGAGUCGAGUUGUUUGGGAAUGCAGCUCAAAAUGGGUGGUAAAUUCCAUCUAAAGCUAAAUAUUGGCGAGAGACCGAUAGCGAACAAGUACCGUGAGGGAAAGAUGAAAAGAACUUUGGAAAGAGAGUUAAACAGUACGUGAAAUUGCUGAAAGGGAAACGCUUGAAGUCAGUCGCGUCAUCCAGGGAUCAACCUUGCUUUUGCUUGGUGCACUUCCUGCGUUUGAUGGGUCAGCAUCAAUUUUGACUAUUGGAAAAAGGCUAAGGGAAUGUGGCAUCUUUGGAUGUGUUAUAGCCCUUGGUUGCAUACAAUAGUUGGGAUUGAGGAACUCAGCACGCCGCAAGGCCGGGUUUUCGAACCACGUACGUGCUUAGGAUGCUGGCAAUAUGGCUUUAAUCGACCCGUCUUGAAACACGGACCAAGGAGUCUAACAUGCCUGCGAGUGUUUGGGUGGAAAACCCGAGCGCGUAAUGAAAGUGAAAAGUUGAGAUCCCUGUCGUGGGGAGCAUCGACGCCCGGACCAGACCUUUUGUGACGGUUCCGCGGUAGAGCAUGUAUGUUGGGACCCGAAAGAUGGUGAACUAUGCCUGAAUAGGGUGAAUCCAGAGGAAACUCUGGUGGAGGCUCGUAGCGAUUCUGACGUGCAAAUCGAUCGUCAAAUUUGGGUAUAGGGGCGAAAGACUAAUCG